rnacentral:rRNA from 1 species
CCCUUAGAUGUUCUGGGCCGCACGCGCGCUACACUGAUGCAUUCAACGAGCCUAUCCUUGACCGACAGGUCCGGGUAAUCUUUGAAUCUGCAUCGUGACGGGGAUAGAUUAUUGCAAUUAUUAAUCUUCAACGAGGAAUGCCUAGUAGGCGCAAGUCAUCAGCUUGCGUCGAUUACGUCCCUGCCCUUUGUACACACCGCCCGUCGCUCCUACCGAUUGAGUGGUCCGGUGAGGCUUUGGGAUCUGAGCAAAAAGAGCGUUUCGCUCGUUUGGCUCGGAAAACUCAGUCGAACCUUAUCAUUUAGAGGAAGGAGAAGUCGUAACA